UACAGAGGGUGCGAGCGUUGUCCGGAAUCACUGGGCGUAAAGGGCGCGUAGGCGGCUUGAUAAGGUUGCGGUGAAAGCCCGGGGCUCAACCCCGGGUCGGCCGUGGCAACUGUCGAGCUGGAGCACUGUAGAGGCAGGUGGAAUUCCGGGUGGAGCGGUGAAAUGCGUAGAGAUCCGGAGGAACACCGACGGCGUAGGCAGCGCCCUAGACGAGACCUGACGCUCAGGCACGAAAGCGCGGGGAGCGAACAGG
rnacentral:rRNA from 1 species